rnacentral:rRNA from 1 species
GACGAACGCUGGCGGCGUGCUUAACACAUGCAAGUCGAACGGACAGUUCCUGCUUUUGUGGGGUGCUCGAGUGGAGACCGGGUGAGUAACACGUGAGUUACCUGUCCUUGACUUUGGGAUAACUUCAGGAAACUGGGGCUAAUACCGGAUAGGAGUCCUUGCUGCAUGGUGGGGGUUGGAAUGUUUCGGCGGUUGGGGAUGGACUCGCGGCUUAUCAGCUCGUUGGUGGGGUAGUGGCUUACCAAGGCUGUGCAGGUUAGCCGGCCUGAGCGGGUGAAAGGCCACAUUGAGUGUGAGAUACGGCCCAGACUACUACGGGAGGCAGGAGGGGGUAGGAAAGCACAAUGAGCGGAAGCCUGACGCAGCCACGCCUGGUGCGGGAGGGCGGCCGUCGGGAUGUAAACCGCUUUCGCCUGUGACGGAGCGUGAGGGACGGUAAGGGGUAAAGAAGCACCGGCUAACUACGG